rnacentral:lncRNA from 1 species
AUAAAAACUGGGCAAAUGCGGGAAUUUGGACAGUGCAAGAUUUGUUAGAUGACCAGGGCAAAGUUAUGUCAUUUCAAAAUUUCCAACAAUUAUAUCAAUUUAGGCCAAAUAUUUUACAUUAUUAUGGAAUAGCGCACUCGCUUAAUGAGUGGUUAAACACGAUCAAUAUUGAAGUAAAGGAGAAAAAAUUCAUGCAAUACUACCUUUUAACAUAAGUAUCUUUUUUGAAUCAAAAAAAGGUUCAAAGGAAAUGUACAAAAUAUUGAAUGAAAAAUAUGUUACAUUUGCUGCAAAGGAAAAAUGGGAGAACCAUCUUAAUAUGACUGGUAUUAACUGGAAAAAAAUACACACUUCGUGUACAAAAUAUAGUAAAAGCACUAAGCUUUGCUGGUUCCAAUAUAGAAUUAUCCAUAGAAUUUUGGGAACUAAUUCACUACUUUACAAGAUGAAAAUAAAUAGUAACAACAUAUGUACAUUUUGUAAAGAAGAACCAGAGACCAUAGAAGAUAAGAUAAGAUAAGAAAACUUUAUUUUGAUUCGGCAUAAGUACAAAUAAGCAACACAAGCUCCAAGGAGCUUUUGACCGAAUAUAAAAACAUAUAAAUAACAUAAAAACAGUGCAUUUUGACAUAUAAAACAACCUGUAAUACAAAGUUGAAAUCUCACAUAUAUAGCAUGCAAUAAAAA